UACGUAGGACCCAAGCGUUGUCCGGAUUUACUGGGUGUAAAGGGAGCGCAGGCGGAUUAUUAAGUCGAUUGUGAAAUCUUGCGGCUCAACCGCAAAACAGCAGUCGAUACUGAUGAUCUUGAGUGUGGAAGAGAGUGGCGGAAUUCAUGGUGUAGCAGUGAAAUGCGUAGAUAUCAUGAAGAACACCGGUUGCGAAGGCGGCCACUUAGUCCAUUACUGACGCUCAUGCUCGAAAGCGUGGGGAUCAAACAGG
rnacentral:rRNA from 1 species